CAGCCGCGCGGGAAUACGUAGGGUGCAAGCGUUAAUCGGAAUUACUGGGCGUAAAGCGUGCGCAGGCGGUUAUAUAAGACAGAUGUGAAAUCCCCGGGCUCAACCUGGGAACUGCAUUUGUGACUGUAUAGCUAGAGUACGGCAGAGGGGGAUGGAAUUCCGCGUGUAGCAGUGAAAUGCGUAGAUAUGCGGAGGAACACCGAUGGCGAAGGCAAUCCCCUGGGCCUGUACUGACGCUCAUGCACGAAAGCGUGGGGAGCAAACAGGAUUAGAUACCCCCGUAGUCCCUGUCUCUUAUACC
rnacentral:rRNA from 1 species